CCAUCAGAACCGCCUCGGAACUGGACCGGGACAAAAGAGGGGCGGAGCUUCAGCUGAGGUCCAGGUGUUCCUCCUGAAACUGUCGGCUUUUAUUCAACGCCUCUGAUUGUAUUGUGUGGAAAAGAACUUUAAUGAUAAAAACAAAAAAAUGUCAGUGGCUGAAAAAAUUCAAGAUGGCUGCCAUGGUUAUCAAGGACAAUUUUAUUUUUGCACUAAGUUUGCCAGUAUUUAUUGUUGAUGAAUACAAAUAUAACUUCUCUUGUAGAAAUCAUGUUUAGGCACAGCUAACCAAAAGUUAUGCCCCUUUUCCACCGGCUCUACUUCAGCAGCUCGGCUCUAUUUCGGAGUGACCGCGUUUCCACCGGCCGGCUCGGCUCUGUAGCACGGUGCCGCCCCCUGGUGGUGGGGGUUGUAGCGCUCCGCCUCCAGGCGCCAUGUGAUGUGCUUCGUUACGCGACCUAACGCCAGAUGUUGUUUUUCUGGGACAAAAGAAGAAGAGAGAGCUGAGCUAUUGUUUUAUAGCCAAUUGUGAUUUUUCUGGGACUUCAAGAAAAUGCGCGGUGGGAGGAAAACUGUGAUGUGGUGAGGAAGAGGAGGAGGAGGAAGAGGAGGAGGACAGCUGAUCUCCACCUUGCAGGGAGGAAAGCAGGUGGUUCAGACGGUGCAGAUGUUGGUGAACUGCAGACCAUCGCGGUUCUUCCUGCAGCCUCUGAGUUGGAGGAUCUCAUCAGUGUCCGUCUUCCUGACCGCCGGUCGGUUUUUACCUCCAGGAUGUCCAGAGACCUUCAGCUUCUGGAGCAGGAACCACAUGAGCUCCAUGUGCUGAUGAAACAUUUCUAAUUUCAAAUGUGUCUGAUGUUCUUAGAGUUGAAGUGCAUUAACAAUCUGUUGUUUUUCACUUCAAUAUGUUUAAUUAUGAUUCAUCUGACGUCCAAGUUACACUGAGAACAAAUAAAACUGUUUUCCUUCUAAUCUGA